UACGAAGGGGGCUAGCGUUGUUCGGAGUUACUGGGCGUAAAGGGCGCGUAGGCGGCGCACCAAGUCAGGCGUGAAAGCCCUGGGCUCAACCCGGGAAUUGCGCUUGAGACUGGUGUGCUCGAGUACGGGAGAGGAUGGCGGAAUUCCUAGUGUAGAGGUGAAAUUCGUAGAUAUUAGGAAGAACACCGGUGGCGAAGGCGGCCAUCUGGCUCGGUACUGACGCUCAGGCGCGAAAGCGUGGGGAGCAAACAGG
rnacentral:rRNA from 1 species